ensembl:lncRNA VPS13B-DT VPS13B divergent transcript
GGGGAGAAGGUGGCUGCGGCUGCUGGGGCCGCUGCGCCGGCGGCGGUUCCCGAUGUGGAGGUCCGUCUUGGGUGGGGAGGCACCCAGGUCGCUGGUUCGAUGCAGAGGAAGAAACCACACCUAGCACGUAAAGCCCUGAAAAAAUAGAGGUCUUCUUUUAUGGAAAAAGAUGCACGCAAAGACUAUAGGCCAAGUACAACAACAAGAUAUUACAGCAAAAGGAACCUCUCAGACUGAAGGGAGCAGAUCAAGAGAACAAAGAAGAAUGAAUGAAUAAAAUAUCAAAGCCAAACAUGUCUAUUAAUGAAAAAAUUGAAAUUUGGGACAGCAACAAUAGAAAAUAAAAGUACAUGGGAAAGACCACGGAA